rnacentral:rRNA from 1 species
UGCCAGCAGCCGCGGUAAUACGGAGGGUGCAAGCGUUGUUCGGAAUUACUGGGCGUAAAGCGCGCGUAGGCGGCUAGAUCAGUCGGAUGUGAAAGCCCCGGGCUUAACCUGGGAACUGCAUUCGAUACUGUCUAGCUAGAGUAUGGUAGAGGGAAGUGGAAUUCCGGGUGUAGCGGUGAAAUGCGUAGAUAUCCGGAGGAACACCAGUGGCGAAGGCGACUUCCUGGACCAAUACUGACGCUGAGGCGCGAAGGCGUGGGUAGCGAACCGGAUUAGAUA